UCCUGCCACGUCCACACACUCUGCCACCUCUCUUGUGACGCAGGCCAUCCUUCUGCUUCUCCACUCACAGAUGUGGCUGUGGUGAGGCCGAACACCAUGCGGUAGCGUUCGCUCUUGAGAAGAAUGUGUUUCAGCCAAGUUGGCUGGUAAGUGAUUUUCUGCAAAGGAGAAUAAUUGGUUGAGUGUUCCCAUGGCAACAGAGCCUUUCCUGGAAACCACUGGAGGUAGAGGGAGGCUCUGGCUCUGCUGGGUGCCGCAGGGCCCUGAGUGGGGCCGGUAGAGAUGGUGGUGCUGCCCGGAGUCCUGCAUCCUCUGUACACUGCCCUGCCUGGUCCUCUCGCUGUUCUCUGCCUGGUUCCCCAGGCCUUGGGAACAUUUCCGUGCCACUGCCCUGGAAGAGCUCCUGAGUGCAUGCUCGCCUUUCCCAGAGCUUGUCCCUUUGCCUCGUGUGAACAGAAAGUGUGGGUGUUAAUAACAGCAUUAUCCAGGCAGGGCAUGCAUUCAUGAUUCACCCAGUGCUCUUGUAGCCACUGCCACAGGAUUCUCCAAAAAUGGACUGGGAAGGCUCUGCUACUCACAGCCCACUUCCUAGAUGGCCACUGAGGCUGGCACUGAGGACGUGACUGGGACCACAAAGAGGUCCAAACACUCUUCAGCGCAGGAGCUGUUUUUACCAUCAGGAGGCAGGGAGAGGAGGUGGCCUUCCCUUAACCUUCCUUUCCUAGCCUGGAACCCCAGGUUGCACGUGGUGGGGGGCAGAGUGGGUUUGCUGCUGCCACUUCCUGUGAGCUGCCACGGCACCCUCUUCUCUAUCCUUGUCUGGAAUCACAGUGGAGGGAUGGAGAAGGAUAAAGCCCCUGCUUCUCAUGGCUGGGUCCUUGGAACAGGAAAAGCGCCAGAAUCUACUGGGCCUCUGAGUCUUGCAGCUGUGGUCCCAGAUACUCAGGGCAGACACAAGCCUCCUUCCUACACGGCGAUCCAUCGGAUUCAUGGCCUAUGGAGAUACACAACAAAAAAGCUGUUUUGUACUCCUCGGUUUGGGCUGCUUUGGUAUAUCGCAAGGCAUGGGAUCAGAACAGUCCCCGCAUCUGUGUCUCAGAAGGAGCUCCCCUUUCUGAACUCCUGCCGCAUAUACUUUAGUGCCUGCCUUUUCUCAAGUUCGGAAGUACAUGGAACCAUCCACAGGUGCAUUAGACCAACAUGUUCCAAGCCAAAGUCAUCAUUGUCCUACCCACAUUUAAAACCCUGUUGAUAACCUUGAUAAAAUUCAACCAAGGAAGGCCAGUGACUUCCUGAGAGGACGGCUUCUGCUCCCAGAGAGCAGGGGUAGAGUAGAGGGAUAUCUGCUGGGGACUGGGUGACAAAGUGUUUGGCUGUGAACAAAAAGCAAAGACCUGGUCCAUAGGUGGAUGAAGUCAAGACCUUGGUUUUGGGGUGCUGCCCUUCACCAGUGGAUUCACUACCUGCUGGUCACUGGUCCUGAGCAUCUUCUUCCUCCCUGCAAGGCAGCGGGCCCUGUGAUGUGCUUUCUAGUGAGACUCGAAAGGCAUGGUGUUUGCCCCUUCCCGAGCUGCCCGCACCAGAUAUCACCAACACUGGAGGAGCAAGGCUGAGUCGUGCUCUAGAUGUCACCGAUCUGCCUGGCGCUCCUUUCACGAAUGGGAACAAACCUGUGCUGUCUCCCUUCCAUUGUUUAUUUUCUGCUCUUCUGUGAUGUUAUGAGAAGCAUAUUUUGAUUAAAAAAAAAUCAAGCCUGACGAUCAUUUGCAUAAAAGUAGCCCGCUAUGCGUCUCAGUAGCUGUGCCUAGGCAGAACAGUAGAUGAAGGGCAAGAUGUGUGCAUGCGUGCAAAAGUGUCAGACUGGGAUUUUUGCCCAUAUAAUGAACUGUCUAACAAGAUUUUUGUAUUUUCAACCUGAGCAUCACAGGGGGUGAAAUACACCCACACCACUCUUCUGUUAUGAAAACAUGUAUUUUAUCAUAAUGGAAUGUGGGUGUGCCUCACAGUAGCUGCACCUGGGGAAAGCAAAAACCCAUCUGUGCAUUCACCCACUUGGCAGAUGGCAAGGUGUGUACAGGAGCUCCAAAGCAGCAACAGGUGAGUUUUACCCAUGAAACGCUCUUUGCUACAUUUCUCCUGCAUUUAAGAUUUGUUUAAAAAAAAAGUUUUCUUUUGUUUCUUCUGGUAGAAGUAGCCCAGCUCAGUACAAAGACAUAUGAAAAACCAGAUUUGCAAGUUUUUGAGGAGGUCAAAAGUGAAUCAGCAGGUUUUUUUCAUGCAUGGAUGAUGAAGAUGCUAAUCACUUUGGCCAUGUGAGCCAAAGUUCCCUUGACCGGCAAAUGGAGCAAGAAUCAACUGAGACAGACACAGGGAAUGCAGACCUCUUUGAUUCAGAUAAUGAAAAAAAUAGCAAGGCGGGUGCAUAUUUGACCAGUUGAAAUGCUACAAAAUGGCCUCACAACCAAAUGGAAUGAUCCAUUGUUAGAACUAGGUCCAAAUACAUAGUGAGCGUCUUGGCAGGGGUGAAACCUAUUGGCCAGAGCGAUGCCAGUGUUGCCAUCCAGUGUUGGAAACUGUAACAGAUGAAAUGCUACAAGAUGUGAAAUACACAAAGAUUGAAAUACAAGUUAAAUGUUCUGUAUGCACCAAUAGCUGUAUUCAAAAAUGUAUUUAUUAUUGACUCUUUACUCGCUGAACUGAAAGCAUCCAUAGCUCUGCUGUACUUAGAGAUUUCUCAUAGUAAUUGCAGGAAUGUAAAAGACUUAUGGAAAAGCAAUGGGUCAAAAUAUGGCAUAUUCCCUUGUAGAUGUGAACUUAUUAUGCUUUCAAUUUAGAAAUUUAUCCUGGAAUUUAGCCACCAUGUUCUUAUUUGUGUAGUAAUAAACUGAAUGAUUUUUGUGAAUAGACUUGUUGAUCCCAUCUCCCAAACAAAUUCAAGUGUGACAUUCAACAAUAGUUUUACCAGUUUCCAAUUGAUGUUAUACUUGCUAACAUCACAAGUUGACCGACAUAGGAACUGUAUGCAGGAAUAAAGCAGAAAUUGCAAAUGAAGUGUUGCAAUUUCAAAACAGAGAAUUGUGUAUUACAAUCUUUGGAUUUCAGAAAGAUUUACAUUGGCCUCGUAUAGGGCAAAGAAAAACAAACUGGCACUGCUGAUGUCAACAUUGCAUCAUGGUGGAAAUAUUGAAAGGGAAACCUGGACAAAAUAAAAACUUUCCUCAACAAAACCAGGGGUGGAGUAGGUGUUGUUGAUGAAUUAUGCAGCAACUAUGAUGUCACUUGAAACACAAUGCAUUGGUUCAUGGUUGUGUUUUACUCAAUCCUAAACAUGUGUGGCAUAAAUAAUUUGAUUGUUUACAAAGAAAAUAACAAGGCCAAAAACUGCAGGGAAAUUUUCUUAGAAGAUUGGUACUGGAACUCAUAAGAGAUCAUUUAUAGCAGAGGAAAAACAAAAUGGUUUUGUCCAGCAAAAUACAUUAAAAAAAAUUGUGGACACCCUGGUGAGCUGACAGGUGCAGCAUCACAAAGACCUACUACAACAACAGGAAAACCCAAAAGAUGUCAACUGUGCUCUACAAGAAAGGACAGGAGCUGGGGAUUUGGCUCAGUGGUUCCGCUGACUGCUUCACAAGCACAAGGGCCUGAGUUCAAUCCCAGUACCAAAAAAAAAAAAAAAAAAAAAAAAAAAUGGACAGGGAAACAAAACAUACAUGCUAUCAGUGUAAGAGAUAUUUGUGUAAGGAGCAUACAC
ensembl:lincRNA